AUGUGCGAGGGCGGGCUACCACCGGGGAAGCGUUUGGACUCCUGCAAGGAAGGGUCCCUGACGCCCUGGAACCCUCCGCUCGGGCGCUGGGAGGGCAGGGCAGGGGAGGGGAGGGGAGGGGAGGGGAGGGGAAGGAUGGGGAGAAAGCAGCGGGGCUGCGUGGCCGCUAGGGGGCGCCGGGGAAGAGGGGACGCCUCAACUUCGGGCGACGCCUUUUCCUCGCCGCCUCUCCCCGGGCAGAGAGGGGGCCACCUCCUCGGGGACCAAGGCGCGGCCCGUGGGGACGGAGGCGGAACAGACCCGCACCGCCCAGUCUCGUGCUGUGGCCAUUUCAGCCACCAGGAAAGGCCGGGGAAGCUCUGUCCCUGCGGGCAGCGGGAGACGCGCUUAUGGUCAGGAGCCACCUCAGUUUUUCCAGGUGAGUGGGUGUCCAGGAAGUGCCCCCGGAGUCGCCUCCAGCAGAGUGAGUCACUUACUGGGAAAACGGCAAAAGAAUCUAUUCACCGAGACCGCAGAGACAUUUUGCCCAGCACUUGGAAGCAUGUCUUUUUCCGACGCCGCCUCGGUGUCGUCCGUGGCAAGGGGACCCACCGCAGGGGCCAAGGAAAGGAUUCCUGGCCGUCAAAGAGCCCUUUGGGCAGCAGAGCGUGGCUGGGAUGGUGUCCGCCCCAGGGGGACUCCCCUGCACUUAGAAAGAGUUUUUCUUUCAUUGGCCCCCCUUUUCUUAUGGAGGUGGAGAAUGAAGAUCAUACUCGGAUUAAUACUCACCGUUGAUUUGAAUCCACUUUCUCCCUGGAAGCAGUCUUCACGUGACUCUUUGACUUCCUGCUCCAGUUGAACCACUAAUUUACGGGUCUCUGGACAGCUGCCCCUCUGGGAUUCCCGCUCCCCUCCCCUCCUCCCCAUAUUGUCUUCCUCCAUUGAUUUCAGUUUCCUUCUCCUAAAUUCCCCUUUCAUUUUGCUACAGUGUGUCCCUGGAUUUUUUUUUUUCCCAGAAAAAUCAUGUGUGGAGUCAAUGUUGGGUUCUUCUGCAUCUGAGAAAUUUUUUAUUCGAUCUUUCGGCUGGGCAUACAAUUCCAGGGUCGAAACAACAUUUCCUGAGACUUUAGACGGCAUUGUUUCAAUUAUAUUCUAGAAUCCGAUACUGCGGAUGAGAAGUUUAAGCCUAGUUGGAUAUUUAUCUUGCAGGUGACCUGAUUUUCUCUCUCCAGAAACUUUUAGCAUGUUUUUCUCUAUCCUUAGAGAGCUAUAAUAUCAUCAGGCUGUGUCUAGGGGUUUUACUGGGUUUGGGGUUUGUUUCAGUCUGAAGAUUCAGGCCUUUCUUCAGCUUAUGGAUAUUUUCUUCUAUUUUUUCCACUCUGUUUCCUUUCUUCUCCUUCCCUGGAACUUCCACAUGGGUUGCCUCUCCUGUCCCUUAUUUUUCCUCUUUCCUGGUACCUCUUAAUUUGCUGGUCUUCUCAGUGCCCGGAAUGUCCCCAGCAGCCAGCCCCAAGGCCUCCUGUCACUCAAGAGACUUCUUCUCUGGCCGAUCACAUCCACCCCCACAGCUAUACCUCUCCCUCCCUGUCCUGUAUUUUGUGUCCACACAUACCUUCUGCACAACUCUCCUGAGCUUCAGCCCCAGAUUUCCUUGCACCUGCUCCGUUCACACAGCUGUCUCAUAGUUAACUUAAAAUCUUUUUUAAUGUUUUAUAUUAUUAUCUUUAAAAAGUUUAUUUAUUUUGAGAGAAAGAGAGCAGGAGCAGGGCAGAGGCAGGCAGGGAGGGAGGGAGGG
rnacentral:lncRNA from 1 species